GACGAACGCUGGCGGCGUGCUUAACACAUGCAAGUCGAACGAAGAGCGAUGGAAGCUUGCUUCUAUCAAUCUUAGUGGCGCACGGGUGAGUAACGCGUAAUCAACCUGCCCUUCAGAGGGGGACAACAGUUGGAAACGACUGCUAAUACCGCAUACGAUCUAAUCUCGGCAUCGAGGAUAGAUGAAAGGUGGCCUCUACAUGUAAGCUAUCACUGAAGGAGGGGAUUGCGUCUGAUUAGCUAGUUGGAGGGGUAACGGCCCACCAAGGCGAUGAUCAGUAGCCGGUCUGAGAGGAUGAACGGCCACAUUGGGACUGAGACACGGCCCAGACUCCUACGGGAGGCAGCAGUGGGGAAGCUUCCGCAAUGGACGAAAGUCUGACGGAGCAACGCCGCGUGAGUGAUGACGGCCUUCGGGUUGUAAAGCUCGGUUAAUCGGGACGAAAGGCCUUCUUGCGAAUAGGGAGAAGGAUUGACGGUACCGGAAUAGAAAGCCACGGCUAACUACGUG
rnacentral:rRNA from 1 species